AUCGCUUCUCGGCCUUUUGGCUAAGAUCAAGUGUAGUACCUGUUCUUAAGUCCUUUUAUUCUACUUUUGUUUUUUAAGGUUUCUUUACAAGUUAGCUGCACGUGCCGGUCUGAGGAGGCACCACAGUGUGCGUUUUUUGUUUCUUGAAAAAGAAGGAAAACUUUU
ensembl:snRNA U2 U2 spliceosomal RNA